UCCCAAGAACACCACCCCUACUGUGAAGCAUGGGGGUCAUAGCAUAAUGCUUUAGGGGUGUUUUUCUCCACAUGGGACAGGACGACCGCACUGUAUUAAGGAGUGGAUGACCGCGGCCAUGUUUUGUGAGAUUUUGGAGAACAACCUCUUUCCCUCAGUCAGAGCAUUGAAGAUGUGUCGUGGCUAGGUCUUUCAAGGUUCUGGCGUCGCCUAGCCAGUCUCCAGACCAAAACCCAAUAGAAAAUCUUGGAGGGAGCUGAAACUCUGUUUCUCAGCGACUGCCCAGAAACCUGUCUGAUCUAGAGAAGAUUUGUGUGUAUUAGUGGGCCAAAAUCCCUCCUGCAGUGUGUGCAAACCUGGUGAACUACAUGAAACAUUUGACCUCUGUAAUUGCAAACAAAGGCUAAUUUACCAAAUAUUAACAUUGGUUUUCUCAGGUGUUCAAAUACUUAUUUGCAGCUGUAUCACACAAAUAAAUUGGUAAAAAAAAAAUCAUAGAUUGUGAUUUCUGCAUUUCAGCCUCACCACUUGAUCUGAUACACUUUUCACCUCCAAGACAGUCUUAGCCAGCUUUUCCAUUAAAAGAACCCUGACUCCAUUUAUCUUCCCAUCUACUCCAUGGUACAAUAAUUUAAACCCUGCUUCGAAAAUCUAGGCUUCCUACCUUUCCACCUGCUCUCUUGGAUGCACAAUAUAUCAACCUUUCUCCUAAUCAUUAUGGCAACCAACUCCUGAGGUUUUCCUGUCAUAGUUCCAACAUUCAAAGUCCCUACCCUUAGUUGUCGGCUCUGUGCAUUCCUCUUCUUCUGCCAAUGAAUCCACUUUCCUCCUCUUCUUUGCCCUCAACCCACAGUAGGUGAAUUUCCACCGAUGCCCUGCAGGUAACCGGUGCCAGGGCGGGCGUUGUUAACACGGGCCACGACCAAUCCAGUAUGGUACUCUUUCGAUGAACACUCAAGUUCAUUUGGCACAAUUUUAUGCCGGAUGCCCUUCCUGACGCAACCCUCUGCAAUUAUUUGGGCUUGGGACCGGCCUACAGAUUCCACUAGCUUGUGCCCCAUUCAUUAUCAUCAUUACAACUAUGACUUAAAAUAUGUUUGCCCGGCUCACUGUCAGCACUGUGUGAAAAGUCGAUGACAAGCAGAUUUGCAGUCUUCCAAGAAAGCAUCCAAGGCAUUAAGAAAGGUGGAAAGGCACCAGUGUGUAAGGGGGUGUUUAAGUUAACACGUUGUGAUGAUUUCUCUAAUCAUAUCUAAUCAUCUCAGUGAGCACUGCCACAGCAGCUGUGUGACCAAACACUGGACAUGGGUUGGACUGACAAUCAGCCAUUACCCCAGUGGGCUGGCCUGUGGAACCGAUACAAUGUUGCUGAUUCACCCAUCCCCACCACCUCGACCAAUUACAGUGGUACCUCUAUUUCCAAAAUGAGUCAUCUCAUCUCCAAGCUGUAAAUGCUUAGAGGUCAGAACAGCACAGUCAUGGUGAACUAAAAACGAAGUGGUCAGACUAAGGUGGAUGUGAAGCAGAAGACAGGUGCCCACUCCCAAAGUGUGGCCAAUACGGUGGAAAGAACCAGUGCCGAGGGCUUCCCCCUGUUCGAGGAGAGAAUCUCUGCAAUCAUGGGUGACACGACUCUCAAAUGGCUGAUUCUGAUUACCCCAAGACACGGAGAAUUCACCCCCCGUUCCUGGCAUCUGCUUCAGCAUCGCCAGCGUCUUCGACGCAAUUACAGUUCAACAACCAGCUGUUGCUGCCCGCUCAACUGAACGUGACCUCACCCAUGCUGUGCUGGGGUCACAAAAGGACAUCAUGAAGGGCGAGCCACUUAUCCUAAGGAGGGUCACGGGAGUGCUGCAGCCUAUUCCAGUUAUCAUCGGGCAGGAGGCAGGAUACACCCUGAACUGAUUGGCAGCCAAUGGCAGGGGACAUGGAAACCGACAACAGUCGCACUCACAAUCACACCUAGCAGCAAUUAUUAAUUAAUUAUUAUUAGUUAUUAAUGAUUUGCCUGCACUGUCAGUGUGUGGAGGAAUGUAAGCUUCGGUUUAGAUAUGUAAAAUUUCAAUUGCCUCUUGAGGAACAUCAUUUUGUAGCUUUCAUGCAUACUGAAACACGUUAGCAUGCUAACAAUCUAAUGUGAUGUGUUUGGUUGUACUUCAUUGGAGACAUCACACAACAACAUUUAUGUAGACUUUGGUACUUGGUGUGCAUAUCAGGUGUGGGUUAUCAGGCACCCCAUUUAUCUAGGAGGAAAUUUAAGACAAGUACACUUCAGGGUUGUGAAAAUACAGUACAGUAAGGGCUAAAAAUUUUGCAAAAUCCACAAGUAUGCGGGACUGCGAACAGUGAACUGUGAAUGGAUGAGGGUAUAUUGUACUUGUAAAUUAUGUUUCUGUCAAAAGCACUUUCUCAGCAUUGUUCGAUGUUGAGAUAGUUGAGAUUUUCAUCAAGGAAAAAAAUACUGGUGUCAAAGUAAUUGUUCUGUUUGCUUUCACAAAAUGGCUGUCUUCUUGUUUUUUUUUCCCUCUAGAAACAGAUUUGGCUGAAAGUAGCCGACAGUAUUUGACUGCUGAUUACUAAGGAACAGUAUAAGAUAAACAACGGUGAUCUUUUUUUUGAUGCAUUUGCUUUUUUUACACAUUCAUCAUACACAUUUUGUGGGACAUGAAAAAGAUUAAUGCAAUCCCUCAAAAAUGCCUUUCAGCCUGUAAAUACUACCCUUGGAUGAAAUUUUUCAAAACUUUCAUUUUGACUAUCAGAGGUAUGUAGAUGACUGCAGUUCAAUUGAGGUGUUGUGUCAUUGUCGAUAAACAAGAUAAAUGAGCCAAAAUUUUCUUCAA